GGGCGCUGUACCGGCGGCAGAUCCAAGAAUCAAGAUGACGUCCCAUGUCACCGAUGUUCUGCUCGCAAACACGGAUCUGUUGGAAAAUGAAGACCUGAGGACGCGCAUCGGCAAAUUAUCAACUCACAUUGAUGAGAUCAAGGGUGAAAUCUACCACGCCGUACACGAGAAGUAUGCCAACUACAGACCCACCAGGGACUCCACCCAGGAGCUACACAACAAGGUGCAGACACUGUCCACUGAGAUGCAGACUCUCAGCAAUAAGAUCAAGGUUAAACAACAUGGUGACUCCACUGUGGAACCAGCCGUAUGAGGACCAGCUAUCCACCAAACAGACCAACACCAGGGAGUUUCUGAGGAAUUUAUCCAAGAUGCUGCAAUGGAACAUUGGGGAGAUGUCUCCCUGGCUGAAGCAACAAAGCUUACCAAGCCAGUUGAGGACCUGUACACUAAGAGCCUCGCUCUGAAGAGAAGCCAAGAGGAAUCUGAUGAAAACACCCAAGAAGCUAAGAGGAGGAAGGAGGAGGACAGCUGACCAGUAGAAGAGAGGUUAAACAACAGGGUGACUCCACUAUGGAACCAGCCGUAUGAGGACCAGCUAUCCACCAAACAGACCAACACCAGGGAGUUUCUGAGGAAUUUAUCCAAGAUGCUGCAACGGAACAUUGGGGAGAUGUCUCCCUGGCUGAAGCAACAAAGGUGAGCUACUCGCCAAAGACACGGGA